CUUGUUGCUACUCUCUCUGUACACAUACCAAAACAAUAAGAAGAAAUGAUAGAUGAGGUAUACUUUUUCAGGCCUGAACCCUAUAUGUUGGCAUGUGGCAAGAAAUUAUUUAUUUUUUAAAGUGUAUUCUUCUUAUUUUACCUAGUACAAUUAUUUUCACCGUUCAAAAGCUUUACUUUUCUACAUUAGUUUAGAACUAUAGAUUUUUAGACCUUGUCUUUGCCCUUUAUAUCCUUUGCAUUGGUUAAGCUCCUCAUUUAUGAUUAAUUGUCCUUUCUUCAUUACUUAUGUGGACCUUUAUUUAUAAUUUAUUUGGGUUGUUUGUUUGAUAUACUUGUGUAUUUGUCAAGGAUUCCAUUUCCUCUAAUUGGAUAGUUAUUAUUUUUUAUGUAAAAAUCCACUAAUAUACUUUUUUUAACUUUUUUUUGAAUGGAAUGUUUUUUUGUUAUGUCAUAUUAGUCAUUUGAGUAUAUUUUGUUUUAUGAACUAGAAUAGUAAUUCUAGUGAAUGACUUAGUAGCAACUAAUUAGGAAAGGAUUGAUUGUGUGGGCAUUCCUACAUUUAUUGUCCAAGUUGAAUAAGGUCCCUUGAACUAGAAAAUAUUAAUUUUAUACAUUAAAUUUUUACCUAAACGUCACCAUGAGCGCCCAAUCUCUAGUGACAGUGAAGCCAUAGCUUGCUGCCUCACGAAAUGCAUCCCUAAGAUACAUUGCAUGUUGCAUGCAUCAAAUGAUAGUCUCUGAAGCAAUUCUAUAGUAAAGAUUUACUAAUUCAAGAAUACAUAAACUUCUCCAGCUCCAAUUCUCUCUGUUUCGAAAGAACAUGGAUAUUUGAAGGAUGAAGGUUGAAUGUUUAAAGAACAAAGAAACUACCUGUAUACAUCUGUUUCAAUAGCAAAAGAAUAAGUUUUUGAGUGAAAUGAAAGAGGUUGCAAUGGAAAGUAUAGGAAAUUUUGUGAUAGUUGUGAGCUUGAAAUGAGUUGCGUUUCACACUUCCUCAGAUGAUUGGUCUACCAACUAAAUGAUGGACAUAAGUAUGGAAGGAAGUAGUACAUUAUAAGAUUGAAAUUAAAGAGUUUCAGACUUCUAAGACUUUUCAAAAUGAGCAGUAGUUGAUUUACUACCCAUUUAAUUAACCCAUAAGAAAUAUUGAAGUUUAGAAUUAGUUAUUUACUAAAAGUUUAUCAUUUGAGUCAAACUAAUAUGCCAGACGCUCUAAGAUGUGAAGGGCUUAUGGAGCCUAGGAGUAGGGUGCAUGCCAGCAAAGAAACACACCUUUGAGACAGAGAAUGUCAAUACCUCUCUUUUGAGUGUGGAAAACAAUAUUCUAGAUUUCUUAGAUUCCAUUGAAAAAAAUAAAUAGGGAAAAAGAAAUAGCUGAUGAAAGGUGAAGAAAACGGAGGACAAGAGAGUGGAAGAGUAGAGGAGAGGGAGGAUGGGAAAGAGGGAAAAAAGAAGAGAAAGAAAUCAGAGAGAAAGAGAGAGAGAUAUGGUAACCCCGACCCCUCGGGAUCUAGAGAAUGCAUAUUAAAUUCCACGUUCGCAAAAAAAUAAUUAAAA
rnacentral:misc_RNA from 1 species